rnacentral:lncRNA from 1 species
UACCACAAAAUUUGUAUAUAAAGUUUAUAAACAUGAUUACACACACUUUAAAAAACUUUUAGCCAAAAUCUUGUCAAAUUUCUCAAGAUAUAGCUCAAAACACAACCACUAGUAAAUCAGAUCACUUACUACCCUUAGAUUUGAAGUGCUGACUUCAACUUCCAAUAUCUCCUUCAUAUUAAUUUGAAAUCCAUCUAAAAAUAUACCAAAAGUAUAGCCACAAAAAUUUUCUCUGCAAUUCUGGUUUCCGAUCCUUUAUUGCUUUUUUUUAUACGCGUGUUAUGUCUAAAAGUAUGAUAGUAGGUACAAAAUCAAUACCUUAACUUUGAGCACCCAUAUUUCUUUCAUAUAAACUCCAAAUCAUACAAAAUUUGCACCAAAAUCAUAGCCAAAAACCUAAACUUGCUGAAUUCAGCCUCCAAAAGUUUGAAUG